rnacentral:rRNA from 1 species
UACGGGAGGCAGCAGUGGGGAAUAUUGGGCAAUGGGCGAAAGCCUGACCCAGCAACGCCGCGUGAAGGAUGAAGGUCUUCGGAUUGUAAACUUCUUUGAUCAGGGACGAAAUUUUGACGGUACCUGAAGAACAAGUCACGGCUAACUACGUGCCAGCAGCCGCGGUAAU